GUAAGCCGGUGAUACUUAAGACGAUGAAUGCACUAGUUCCCUAUUAUGGAUCACUGAAGUUGAGCAACGUUGCGCGUGGUUGGUAUCCGGAUGAGUGACCAUAUAGGGAAUCGCGUACUGCUUUCU
rnacentral:rRNA from 1 species